AUUGAACGCUGGCGGAAUGCUUUACACAUGCAAGUCGAACGGCAGCACGGACUUCGGUCUGGAGGCGAGUGGCGAACGGGUGAGUAAUGUAUCGGAACGUGCCCAGUCGUGGGGGAUAACGUAGUGAAAAUUACGCUAAUACCGCAUACGAUCUAUGGAUGAAAGCGGGGGAUCGCAAGACCUCGCGCGAUUGGAGCGGCCGAUAUCAGAUUAGGUAGUUGGUGGGGUAAAGGCCCACCAAGCCAACGAUCUGUAGCUGGGCUGAGAGGACGACCAGCCACACUGGAACUGAGAAAAGGUCCAGACUCCUACGGGAGGCAGCAGUGGGGAAUUUUGGACAAUGGGCGAAAGCCUGAUUCAGCCAUUCCGCGUGCAGGGUGAAGGCCCUCGGGUUGUAAACUGCUUUUGUACAGAACGAAAAGGUUUCUACUAAUACUAGGAGCUCAUGACGGUACUGUAAGAAUAAGCACCGGCUAACUACGUGCCAGCAGCCGCCGUAA
rnacentral:rRNA from 1 species